rnacentral:rRNA from 1 species
AGAACGAACGCUGGCGGCAUGCCUAACACAUGCAAGUCGAACGAGACCUUCGGGUCUAGUGGCGCACGGGUGCGUAACACGUGGGAAUCUGCCCUUGGGUUCGGAAUAACAGUUGGAAACGACUGCUAAUACCGGAUGAUGACGUAAGUCCAAAGAUUUAUCGCCCAAGGAUGAGCCCGCGUCGGAUUAGCUAGUUGGUGAGGUAAUGGCUCACCAAGGCGACGAUCCGUAACUGGUCUGAGAGGAUGAUCAGUCACACUGGAACUGAGACACGGUCCAGACUCCUACGGGAGGCAGCAGUGGGGAAUAGUUGGACAAU